GACGAACGCUGGCGGCGUGCUUAACACAUGCAAGUCGAACGCUGAAGCCCUGGCUUUUGUUGGGUUGGAUGAGUGGCGAACGGGUGAGUAACACGUGAGUAACCUGCCCUCUUCUUUGGGAUAACGCCCGGAAACGGGUGCUAAUACUGGAUAUUCACUGAUCUUCGCAUGGGGGUUGGUGGAAAGGUUUGUUCUGGUGGGGGAUGGGCUCGCGGCCUAUCCGCUUGUUGGUGGGGUGAUGGCCUACCAAGGCUUUGACGGGUAGCCGGCCUGGGAGGGUGACCGGUCACAUUGGGACUGAGAUACGGCCCAGACUCCUACGGGAGGCAGCAGUGGGGAAUAUUGCACAAUGGGCGAAAGCCGGAUGCAGCGACGCCGCGUGAGGGAUGGAGGCCUUCGGGUUGUAAACCUCUUUCGCUCAUGGUCAAGCCGCAACUGUGGGUUGUGGUGAGGGUAGUGGGUAAAGAAGCGCCGGCUAACUACGUG
rnacentral:rRNA from 1 species